CCAAAAGCAAGAGUUGGAUGCUUAAUUGUCUAACCCACUGAGCCACCCAGGGGCUCCUCCUGUUUGUCCUUGCGUUGUUACCCAUCUACUUCACUUUCCCCAUGGAUCAUUUCUCCCCGGCAUGAUCAAGGCAUCUCUCUUUAUUACCUUUUUCUGUCUUGCUCUUCUCCUCAAGCUACUAAUUUAUUUUCCUCUAUCUCUUCACCAAAACACGUUAGUGAUCAGUUAUAAUAACUACUUUUAUGAAUCUAGCAGACUCUUGAUAGUUCUUUCUGUAACAAGUGACACAGACUUGCCACUUCACUGAAACUCUCUUCUGAGACCCAUUUCCUUGGGAGGCUGUUGCGGAUCUUCCAUGACUCCAAUUCUUCCUGUUCCGUAUUCUUCUCUGUCAUCCCAAUGUCAGUAUGCCUCUCGUUCACCUCUCCCCCAGUUAUCAUUUGUAAAUGGACAAUUUCCAAACCUCUAUCGUCUGCUACAACUAUGUCCUGAGUUGUGGAAAUGGCAUUUGUAAUGACAUAGUGUAUGCUUCCGACUGCAUAUCUUUUACGUAUCUCCAACUUAGCAAGCACCGCAGGCUUAAAUACCACCACCACCACAGGGAGAUAUUACUAAAACACAUUCUACAAGGAAAGUAGUAAUAAUGAUGGUGACUGAUUUUAAAAGAAAAUAAGCACAUGUGAAAUUUUUAAUCUACAUGCUAAGCUAUUUCUGAGAGACAGAAUUUUUUCAUAUACAGGAUGGAUUCUGAUUGUUAUAACCAGUGUCUUCAGGGAUCGCCAAUUCUUUCAGAUCCUCUCCCUAGAAAUGCCAUUCAAGAAUAUCACUUCUCUGUUUUUAUUUUAAACUCCGUAGGCAACUUUUUGAUCUGUAAUUAAAUUGAACAACAGGCAGACGUCUUAUUGUGACUAGGAUGUGGCCAUUGUAUAUUCAUAAACUGGUGUUCUAGUUGGUAAAUGAUUGUCUUGUCAGUUUGCUUGGUGUGAGUCAGUGCUCCAGAGUGGUGAACUCUAGGUGACCUGUUGAGAUCAAGUUUCUCUAUCUGCAAAACUGAAGACGAGACUUUGGACUGUGGCAACUGAAAAUAGACUGUGAAUCUGAGAGAUGAAGCCCAGCUAAGGAGAGCACUCACCAUAACCCACUAAUGGGUCAAAAUCUACAGCUUGAAGAAUCCUGCAAUGUGGAAGGGAUGUUCGAGUAGGGCUGAGAGCCCUCAGUUCCUUGCUACCACUCUUCAAUGGAAAACUUACUCUCACCAUCCAACCAAGGUGAUAGGAUCAAAUCAGAUCAUCUCCGCAGCCUCUGUUUCAGUAUAUCGGGGAUUUCCCACCUUGGUACUGGUGAUUUCCCCAUCAGGAUUCUGUGACAGGGCGCCUGUCUCAGCAGAUGACCAGAAAAGUGCAGUUACCUUCUCCACCGAGGGAAAAGAGUGAAUGCUUUGGAGGACCCUAAUCAAGAGAACUGUAAUGACUUUCCUCAAAAUGGGUCAGGGGAGAUGUUAGUGGCCAGAGACUGGAUACACUGAAGCAAGUCUAUGAAGGUCUCACAAAUCCACAGGCCACUCCUACACUAGAAGAACUGAAAUCAAGCCCUGAUUGUUCUGUCCCUACUUACCACCGCUUCUUGCCUUAAGACAGCCUCCAAAUGACUCUACAUACAAAGUACUUUCAAACAAGUUCUUCCACCAACACUUGCAAGCUCUAAGGCUGGCUUUCAUUGAGGCUAAUUUUGACAGAAAUUCCUUCCAUACUAGAUCUGUUACGAGUCAGAAGUUGUUUCCCUCAUCUUACUAUUCUCCAUCAAAAUUUGACUGAUUCAGUGGCUAGAAAUGCAAUAUUCACUAUUCAUUGAAAUUCGAUAUGCAUUGAAAACGAACGAAAAUUACUGAAGCAUUUCACUGAGUUUUCAUUUGUGCCUGGCAGAGGAAAUAAAACAAACAACUGCCCAGUAA